UUUUUUUAUAAUUUUUAUUCUUAGUUUUUUUAUAGGUUUUCAAUUUUACCCUUCAUUCUAGAUUUAUUAUUUUUUUGUUUCUUCAAUUUUGAUAAUGCUUUUUUAUAUUUUUUAAUUUUUUUCUUUCUCUUUUUGUGAAUUUUCAAGUUUUCAAUUUCAUUAUUUGAUAAAAUAUUUUUAAUUUGUUAUUUUUUUAAUUUAGUCCUCGUUGUUUUGGUGAUUGAUUCUUUUAAUUAUUUUGUGAUUUAUUUUGUUUUCAAUUUAACCCUUCAAUUCAAAAUUAUUCACCCUAUCAUUUUUUUUUAAAUUGAUCAUCAUUUUUUUAAUUGCUACUCUUUCUUUUUUAUCUUUUUGUAUGAUUAUUUUUUUUCAAUUUCAUGAUUUGAAACUUAAUUUAUUAAAAAUUAGGCUUCGUGUUUUUUUUCAUGCUUGGCACUUCUGAUCAAAUGGUC
rnacentral:lncRNA from 1 species